AUAAAAGUAGCAAUACUUGGUGGCGACCGGCGCGACGGGUGAGUAACGCGUAUGCAACCCUACCUAUCAGAGGGGAAGUAACCCGGCGAAAGUCGGACUAAUACCGCAUAAAACAGGGGCACCGCAUGGUGAUAUUUGUUAAAGAAAUUCGCUGAUAGAUGGGCAUGCGUUCCAUUAGGUAGUUGGUGAGGUAACGGCUCACCAAGCCGACGAUGGAUAGGGGAACUGAGAGGUUGGUCCCCCACACUGGUACUGAGACACGGACCAGACUCCUACGGGAGGCAGCAGUGAGGAAUAUUGGUCAAUGGGCGGGAGCCUGAACCAGCCAAGUCGCGUGGAAAAGGAAGAAGGAUCUAUGGUUCGUAAACUUCUUUUGCAGGGGAAUAAAGUGCAGGACGUGUCCUGUUUUGUAUGUACCCUGAGAAUAAGGAUCGGCUAACUCCGUGCCAGCAGCCGC
rnacentral:rRNA from 1 species